UGGGGGACAACGUUUCGAAAGGAACGCUAAUACCGCAUACGUCCUACGGGAGAAAGCAGGGGACCUUCGGGCCUUGCGCUAUCAGAUGAGCCUAGGUCGGAUUAGCUAGUUGGUGAGGUAAUGGCUCACCAAGGCGACGAUCCGUAACUGGUCUGAGAGGAUGAUCAGUCACACUGGAACUGAGACACGGUCCAGACUCCUACGGGAGGCAGCAGUGGGGAAUAUUGGACAAUGGGCGAAAGCCUGAUCCAGCCAUGCCGCGUGUGUGAAGAAGGUCUUCGGAUUGUAAAGCACUUUAAGGUGGGAGGAAGGGUUGUAGAUUAAUACUCUGCAAUUUUGACGUUACCGCCAGAAUAAGCACCGGCUAACUCUGUGCCAGCAGCCGCGGUAAUACAGAGGGUGCAAGCGUUAAUCGGAAUUACUGGGCGUAAAGCGCGCGUAGGUGGUUUGUUAAGUCGGAUGUGAAAUCCCCGGGCUCAACCUGGGAACUGCAUCCGAAACUGGCAAGCUAGAGUAUGGUAGAGGGUAGUGGAAUUUCCUGUGUAGCGGUGAAAUGCGUA
rnacentral:rRNA from 11 species